rnacentral:piRNA from 1 species
CUUUGGUCGCUCGCUCCUCUC